rnacentral:rRNA from 1 species
GACGAACGCUGGCGGCGUGCCUAAUACAUGCAAGUCGAACGGUUUAGUUCCAAGAGGCUUGCCUUUUGGAACUAGACAGUGGCGGACGGGUGAGUAACACGUAGGCAACCUACCUGUCAAACCGGGAUAACCUCGGGAAACCGAAGCUAAACCCGGAUAAGCUCCUUUUUCGCAUGAAGGGGGAGUGAAAAGGUGCGACCUGAUGACAGAUGGGCCUGCGGCGCAUUAGCUAGUAGGUAGGGUAACGGCCUACCUAGGCGAUGAUGCGUAGCCGACCUGAGAGGGCGUACGGCCACACUGGGACUGAGAUACGGCCCAGACUCCUACGGGAGGCAGCAGUAGGGAAUCUUCGGCAAUGGGCGAAAGCCUGACCGAGCAACGCCGCGUGAGUGAGGAGGGCCUUCGGGUUGUAAAACUCUGUUGUUUGGGAAGAAGGGAAAGGGUAGGACCCUUAGGUGACGGUACCAAACGAGAAAGCCCCGGCUAACUACGUG